rnacentral:rRNA from 1 species
UAGUCCACGCCGUAAACGAUGAUUACUCGAUGUAUGUCCGAUUGAGGAUAUGCGUCUUAGGGAAACCGAUAAGUAAUCCACCUGGGGAGUACGCUGGCAACAGUGAAACUCAAAGGAAUUGACGGGGAUCCGCACAAGCGGUGGAGCAUGUGGCUUAAUUCGAGGAUACGCGAAGAACCUUAUCCUAGAUUUGACAUGCUUGAGAGUCUCUAUGAAAGUAGAGAGUGCCCUUCGGGGAGCUCUUGCACAGGUGCUGCAUGGCUGUCGUCAGCUCGUGUCGUGAGAUGUCGGGUUAAGUCCCUUAACGAGCGAAACCCUUAUCUUUAGUUGCCAGCGGGUAAUGCCGGGACUCUAAAGAGACUGCCGGUGUCAAACCGGAGGAAGGUAAGGAUGACGUCAAGUCAGCAUGCCCCUUACGCUCUGGGCUACACACGUGCUACAAUGGUCGUGACAAAGAGUUGCUAGUCUGCGAAGGCAAGCCAAUCUCAUAAACG